UACGUGGGGGGCAAGCGUUGUCCGGAUUUAUUGGGCGUAAAGAGCGUGUAGGCGGCCAGGUAGGUCCGUUGUGAAAACUCGAGGCUCAACCUCGAGACGCCGAUGGAAACCAUCUGGCUAGAGUCCGGAAGAGGAGAGUGGAAUUCCCGGUGUAGCGGUGAAAUGCGCAGAUAUCGGGAAGAACACCCGUGGCUAAGGCGGCUCUCUAGUACGGUACUGACGCUGAGACGCGAAAGCGUGGGGAGCGAACAGG
rnacentral:rRNA from 1 species